CUGCCUAUGAGCCACAAGCACGGGUUACUCCGGCUUUGCUGUAAGGACAGGGACAAUGCUGAUGGACUGCUGUGGAUAAAUGAUGUUCGUUCUGCACCUUGAGGGUGGGAUGCUGCCUUGCACAGGGGUCAUGUCUUCCUCCACAUCCAGUACCGAUGGGGCUGUAUGGAACACCACACCAAUGGACUGCUGUGCCAACAACAUGUUGGGUUGGAGGUAUGCAAUUGCCAUCUGGGUACAGUCCCUGUGGCCAAACCCAAUGGCGAUGUAGGACACAAGGGUGGCUGCCCAUCGCCGCUCCCUCCGGAAAGGAGCCAGACAGGAGAGAAAUCACUGCUGUCCAUGCCCCAAAAUCAAGAUGUGAAGUGGACAAGGCUCUGUUCUGCUGUUCCCUCUGCUGAGAUGUCAGAAGGACUCCCCAGGCAUCCAUCCACACUGAACACCUCCAUGAGACCUCUCUGCCCCAGGAAGCAGGAAGAUGCCUUUAUAUGUCCCCUUUUAGCAGCUGCUGCAAACUUCUUUUAUGCUAAAGCACGUGGAGCCGCGUUGAUUUAUUUAGCAGCGUCUCUGGAGGCUUCUUCAAGGUUAAGAUGUAGACAUCGCAUGUUAGGCUGGGCUGAAUGCUGGCAGGAAAAGACAUUUGGCUCUUCUAAUUGGAAAAACACGCCGCUUUUAUCACCCCGAGGCCAAGCCUCUACCACAGCCACACAGCAUAGGGGAACACAGCGGCUCAGCCCUGGGUCCCCAGAAAGGAGCACCGUCCCCUCACUGCCCUCCAGGUCAGCCCCGGUGGUGCACCCAUCCCUGCUGAGUGCUCAGCACCGGUCACGGAGCUGUCAGCCACGCUGUGCCUCAGUUUCCCCACUGCUGCUGGCUGCCAUGGGCUGCGUGCUGAGUUUCGGCGCAGUGUGUCUAAGAAGCCCCUUCCCCAUCCAUCUCGGUGUUCCCACUGCACAACACGGAGCACACCCACUGAUGAAGGCACACAGCAUCCUCAUCUGGCCGGGCUGCCUCAGCCACGUCGGUACUCAGAGCUACAGAUACAGAGGUAAGGCUGCAUUUUUGGUGAUCCUUUGUCCCCUGUUUUGCAGGAGCCAGCUGGGUCUCCCACCACAGACAGGGAAUUGCUGUGGGCUCCCUGUGCCCCAGAGCAGCAUUGAGGCAUUGAGCCAUUGCCCCUCCUGACCCCAGACCCUGCACACAGCAGGGCCUGAAAUGGCCCUUUCCCAGACAUCUCCGUAAGCAAUGCCUUCAGUCUCUGCUUAAUGACUCCCAGCCAUCCUUCCUCCUUGCAGAAGCCAGCAGCACAGCAGGCAGGGCAGAUCCCCAGCUCCUGCUCCCCCCAUUCCAAACAGCAACUUUGGGGUCUCAUAGCAAACCCCAUCCCACCAGCAGCAAACCCCCUAUUUCCAGGCCUGGCCCUGGUUUGUUCUCAUUUCCUUUCCUUACUGAGCCUCCCCCCAGGAAUGGGACGAUGUCUUUUACAGCUCUCCCUGCUUCCAGUGUAUCAGAAGCAUGCCAAGACAUUGCCCUCUCCCAGGGGUGAGGAGCAAAGUGCCCAAUGUGGAGACGAGAACUGAUCUGGUGCUGCUGCAGCUGAGGGGCACAGUGCAGGGCCACAGCCACGUGGGGACUGGGAUUGAACCCGGUGCAAGAAGCCCAGGAGGAAAUCCCAUCCCAAUGCUAUGGGGCAGAAACCCAAUGCUGCCCCCAAAAUCUUUCCCCACAGCCUCCAUCCUGCUGCCUUCCCCCCCAGUCCUCCUUCUCUCACCUUGCCUUCCUCCAUUGCAUCCAUCCUCCUCUCUGGUGCCUCUUGCUCCAUCUCUGGGCACUGCUUUCCCCUCCCCUCCUCCCUUCCCAACCCCUGAGCUCCAGCUAGUUUAGAUCUGCCCUGGGGUGAUGUAGGGGGGAACAGGGGCAGCACUGACCCCUCUCCAUACUCCCAGUUUGGCUCAGUCUGAGCCCUAUGGUUGGGAUGUCCCUCCCACACCCAGGGCUGCUGGCAGCAUCUGGCCCCACUCCAGAGAGGAGGAGGAGGUGGAAGAGGAGAUUCCCCCAUGGGCAGCACUGUGGUGCAAAAGGCUGAAAGGAGCUCUGGCCAGGAGCAGGGCCUUGUGUGGAGGUGGUGGGUGUGAGGAUGGCUGAGGAUGCUUUUGCCUAAAGAGCAGUGGGAUGUGAAGGCAAACAGUGGGAACAUUGCUCCUGGAGCGUGGUGGUGCUGCCCAGGGACUGCCCUGCUCUGCCUGUGAGCGUUGGGACCCGGCCCAUGCUGUGGUGAGCACAGCAUUUGAAUGCAGCCAACUGACCCCCAGGGCCUCAGGCAGUGCUGCAGAGCAGUGCUGGGGCUCACCAUGCAUCCUUGCUCAGUGCCAGGGUGUGCACAGUGCUGGGCAUGGCUCACACUGUCCGUUCUCUGCUCACCCUGCAGGACAGAUAUUGCCUAUAGCAAAAAAUUACCCUCCAUAGCAAAAAUACAACAAUCUCUACGGGCAGGACUCGUUCUGUGCCCUCCAUCCCAGCAUGACGAUGCCCACAGUGCUCCUACAGCACCACAGGGCAGUUCCCUGCUCUGGUGCAGGGCUUUGGGAUGAGGGUCCCCUCUCCUCCUCCUGCUCAGUGAGCGAUGCCUUCACAUGGCUGUCCCAAAGCUCCAGGCCCACUCAGCCCCGUGCUGCAACGCACAGAGCCGGAACAAAGCCGUGCUGCCUCAAAUUCCUCCAGUGCCGGGCUCGGGGCUCUGUGCUGCUUUCAGUUCCUAAAGCCAGCUUCGCGCUGUGCCCUGUCGGCCCACUCCCACGCUCCAGCACGGGGUAUCUUGACAGAUUGUUUGGUGGUUUGUUUGUUUGUUUUCUAUUUUAUAAUAAAAGGAAAAAAGCGAUUGCAAAGCAGAAAGGACCGUUUUGGGGGUACAUUUGGCAGUGAAAUCAGAGCUCGGGCUGGGAACCAGCAGGACAGCCUCCCUGCAGCCUCCCUGCGAUGCUCUCCAUGCACCGAACCCCGCACCACUCCUUCCUACACCAUCCCCCCGCUCACACCAAUGACUUUUAUUUUCGUACACGAAAAAGAAAACGCACAACGGAUUGGGAGCGUUAUUUUUCUGAACGCCACUUCGAAGAGUAAAAAUCUGAAAGCGUAAAUCCGGAGCAUCGUGGCAAAAUCCGGGCUCGGUUUAAAAACUAAAAGGGUUCUGCGAUUGUUUCUUUUCGUUUGUGAAAUAAUUCAACCCUCACCAAUAUUCCGGGCAGACGAG
ensembl:lncRNA